rnacentral:tRNA from 1 species
GCAGGCGUCAUAUAAUGGUUAUUAUGUUUGCUUCCCAAGCAAAUCAUGGGGGUUCGAUUCCCCUCGCUUGCUCCA